rnacentral:rRNA from 1 species
AACUACCACUCGCGGGGGAUGGGAAUAGGCUAACUGAAUCAUACAAUUUUUUAAAAUCAUGAUGUUCGUAGGGAAAAUAAUGAUAAUACCUUACUAUGAGUGUCGUCCAAAUCUGGUGCCAGAGACUCGGUAAGACCAGAGACGCAAACGUUAAUCAUCAUAAACAGGCGUAAAGGGUUUGUAGGCAGCUUUCACCAAACUUAUGAUUACAAAUUAAAGUAGUUUAAUUGAAAGCUAGAAUCAAAAAGAGGUUAUAGUGUAUAACGCCUAGAGGAGGGCUGAUAUCCAUAGAUCCUAGGCAGAAUACUCAGGCGAAGGCCCACUCUCCACUACUGAUUGACGCUGAGAAACGAAGUUAGGUAGGAAUAAGAAUAGAUACCCCGGUACUUCUUUCUUGUUAAACGAUGGAGGGUAGUCAUAGUUUUAACCUGGGGACGAGUUAACCAAUACCACUCCGCCUUGUGGAUCCCACGCGCGAAGUCGAACAAAAUUUUGUGGCCCUCGACCACACGGAGGGAGACGGGUUUUAUAUACUUAUUGCGCGCACACA